rnacentral:rRNA from 1 species
AUUGAACGCUGGCGGCAGGCCUAACACAUGCAAGUAGAGCGGAGCGGCGGACGGGUGAGUAAUGCCUAGGAAUCUGCCUGGUAGUGGGGGAUAACGUCCGGUAACGGGCGCUAAUACCGCAUACUAUAAGAUGAGGCUAGGUUGGAUUAGCUAGUUGGUGGGGUAAAGGCCUACCAAGUCGACGAUCCGUAACUGGUCUGAGAGGAUGAUCAGUCACACUGGAACUGAGACACGGUCCAGACUCCUACGGGAGGCAGCAGUGGGGAAUAUUGUACAAUGGGCGAAAGCCUGAUCCAGCCAUGCCGCGUGUGUGAAGAAGGUCUUCGGAUUGUAAAGCACUUUAAGUUGGGAGGCGUUACUAACAGAAGAAGCACCGGCUAACUUCGUGCCAGCAGCCGCGGUAAUUC